CCUACGGGAGGCAGCAGUGGGGAAUAUUGCACAAUGGGGGGAACCCUGAUGCCUCUCCGCCUCUUUCUCGCGGCCUUCUUUCUUUCUGUCCCGCUCUCUCCGCCGGGCCGCAAAAAGACGGUACCUGACUAAGAAGCCCCGGCUAACUACGUGCCAGCAGCCGCGGUAAUACGUAGGGGGCAAGCGUUAUCCGGAUUUACUGGGUGUAAAGGGACCGUAGACGGCAAGGCAAGCCAGAAGGGAAAGGGCAGGGCUCACCCCUGUCCAUGCUUUUGGCACUGUGGUGCUAGAGUGCAGGAGAGGUAAGUGGAAUUCCGAGUGUAGCGGUGAAAUGCGUAGAUAUUAGGAGGAACACCAGUGGCGAAGGCGGCUUACUGGACUGUAACUGACGUUGAGGCUCGAAAGCGUGGGGAGCAAACAGGAUUAGAUACCCCUGUAGUC
rnacentral:rRNA from 1 species